ACUAAUUUUGCCUUCUUCAGCAGCCAUUUUCUGCUCCGAAAUUUUCAACCAUACGCAAACAGCUGUAAAGCUCAGCACCAAACUCAACAACCCACUUCCCAAUUCGAUCCCCACAAUGGCCAGAACCGAUAGCCCUUUGCUCCUCAUUGGCGGCAAUGGGUACCCGUACAGAUCCUUAUUCCCCUCGUAGGAGCUCGCAUUAAACCUCGGCGGUUCCGCUCCUAUUUCCUGAGGACGAGGGUAUCGGACCCGACAACUUGUUAUUCGAAACAUCGAAAAUCGAGAGACGGGCCAGCAAUCCCAGCUGCUGAGGGAUGAGCCCGGAAAGUUGGUUACCGUGGAGAUCGAUCACAUUAAGGUAGGCGCAGAGAGUGAGCUGUUGCGGGAUUGGGCCGGAAAAGCGGUUACAGGAAAGGUUUAGGACAGCGAGAUUGACGAGGCAUUGGAGGUCAGAGGGGAUGGGGCCUCUUCAAGAAUCCACUCUUUGAUGGAAAGACCAUUCUCAAGAUCUGAAACUUCAACAGGUUUGGAGGCGUGAUUGGCGCAUUCAACUGCCAAGGAGCUGGUUGGGACCCCAAAGAAUAGAGGAUCAGGGGUCACUCCGAGUGCUACAAGUCCAUGUCCGAUUGGGUUCACGUCGCCGAAAUUGAAUGGGGACAAACCAAGGAAGCCUCCAAAAUGGGCGAGGCACAGGAAUACGCGGUCAACCUAAGCCAGGCCGGGAAAUUAUUCUUGACCAACCCCGCUUCUCCUGCAACUGAAAUCACGAUCGAACCUUCCUCCUUCGAGAUUUACAGCUUUGUUCCCACCAAGGAGCUUGGUCUCGGUCGGGGCACCAAAUUCGCCCCCAUCGGCCUCACCGACAUGUUUAACAGCGGAGGGACCGUUCGGGCCCUGGAGCAUAACGACUCGGGCGCCGGAGAUGGCGUUGGAGGAGAGGUCGAGUGCUUGGAGAUUAGUACAGCUGGAGAUAUUGGAGGAGAUGGAGCCCUUUAGGAAGAGGUUGGAGAGGGAGAGUUUGUAAAUGCGGCCGUUGUUGCAGGUGGCACCUUAGAGGAAGGAGGUGAAGCCUUGGCAAGGGUUAGCGAAGAUAGCUUUGCUCCAGUUUUGGAGGUUCUUUAAUGGGUGUUCACUGAUGCGGGUUAAGCAUAACUCGUCGUUUGGAUCUGGCUCUGAUGGCUAUGACUUUGCUCGUGGGAAGAUUCCUAAGAGCGGAGGUAUCACUCUCCUGCAGAGAAUGAGGAGAGAGAAAGCGGCGGCAACAAGGGUUUUGCAUAAAUGGAUGGAAGAAGGAGGAGUUGUUCUCUUUGCUUAGAAAUUGCGGACAAAAAUGCCCUUUGAAGAAGGGCACUGGCAUUCGUGUGAAUUGGGCUUCCGGUUGCAAAACCGGAGAAACUGGCUAAAAGGGUCGCGAGUGUCCAAUUUUACAAGUUUGAGGGCUUAAAGUCAGUAAAAAAUAGAUGAGGGGCUUAUUUUUACCUAGACAAAGAGUUCAAGGGCCAAUUGGAUAAUUUGCCCAAACAAUUUUAGUAGUAUGAGAAACGCGUACGGUACUAGCGGCAUGUGUGCUUGUAGAGAAAGCUGGAAAGAAAGGAAGAUGGAUGGGGAGGCGUCGUUAUGGGAGCGGUGUUGCCCAUUCACAGCCAUGGUUACGGUGGUGUUGCUCCGAAGCAGCCACACACGUUGAAUUGGAUAUAUUAACCGUUUUCAUGUUACUAACAUUCUUGUAUGAUACUUUUCAGCUUUUCUUUUCCUUCCUAUGCGCUACUACUACCGCAGCUUAUUCCAAGUCAAAGCCUGCCUUUCUUGGUUUUCCUCUCCCGAGUUAGUAGUAGUACACGAUUGUUUGACAGGUAACUCAUUCCAUUUCUUUUUAUGAAAGAAUAGUAGUAAAAGAACAAAAAACAAAAUCUUGACGGG